UUAAAUAAUAUAAAGAGGCUGCCUUCAGCAGAGUUUUAGGGUAGUACAAGUUGGAGAACUGAAGAGUCAGAAGGAAUCAAAGUGAAAAUCAAGUAGGCAUCAGAGCUGGAAAGAGUUGCAGAGCUGGAGUGCGAAAGGAGAACUGAAAAGAGUUGCGGAGAACAAAGGCUGAAAAUCACUAGGAAAGAUUCAAUCUCUCUGGAGAGCUGCAUCGCUCCCCAGCAGUCUGGGAUUGAAACUCCAGAACUAUGAAGUGAGAGCAGGACCUAAGGUUAACCAAGGGACAAGCUGAGGUGAUUGCAGAAUACUCUGGGCAAGGACUGUGAAGUUAGGGCCCAGUGUUAGAGACAGGGAUGGGGCAAUUCUACAUCAAAGGAGCAAGGAGUUCAAGAGCCCGGGCCACUACUGAGAAGCACUCACAUGUCACCGACAAUCGUGCCGCAGACGGUGACAGAACAUACAGGAGAGCCUCUCUACAUGAUCUUACAGGUUGGGCAGAACUAUACGAGAGUAGGCAGCCCUUCAACUCUCUUGGCCCUAAGCACUUUAAAGGUCAAAACCAGAAUCUUGAAUUGUGCCCAGAAAAACACUGGCAACCAGUGUAGCUGACACAAUUGUGGGGUAAUAUGAGCCUAGCAUUUGGCCCUUGCCAGAAACUUCACUACUUCAUCCUGCACUGGCUGUAAUUUCCAGGGGAUCUUCAAGGGCAGCUCCAUGUAGAGCAUGUUACAGUAGUCUAACCGUGAGGGUUCACCAUGACAAGGCCAGACCUUAACUAUAGCAGGGCUAAAAUAGACAGGAUUGAAGAUAGCUCAUAUACUCUAAAUCUGCUGUGGUAAUGUCAACUGAAACUAUGAACUAUGGUAAUGUCAACUGGAAAAGGAAGAAACUAAGAGGACAGUAUCAUCAGAUUUCAAAAACAAAGAAGCAAAGGAUCAACUGUAUCAAGAGCUGAUGAAGGAGCAAGGGGAAUAAGAGAACUUUUGUGAAUUAGUAAAUAGAAGGUCAUUAUUUAUUUUACACAGAGCAGUCUCACUACAAUGUUGGGAUUAAAAGACAAGCUGAAAAGGCUCAAAAAGAAAGCAGGAGAAACUGGGAGAAACAAAGUGAAGCAUUCAGAUGGGACAAAUCACUUAAUUCUGGAGACGAAAGCAAAAAAAAAAAGAAGCCAUAUGAUAGGAUGAGGCAGUGGGGAUCUACCCAACAUUUUUUCAAUGCUGGAGUAACCAUUUUAAAUAAGGUGUGAGAGAUUUAAGAUAUGGGAAAUGAGCAAAGAAUCCAUGGAACAACUAUUUAAAAAUGAGAGGCAACUGGAUCAUGAUGACAAGUGGUGGAUUUAAUAUAGAAGAAAAACAGAGGUGAAAACUGAUAAAGAAAGCAAGAAGAUCUGCUAAAAUGGAAGUAGGAGAAAUACCACAAAAGAGGUAAUGAGGCCUGAUCAGAUAUUUUAGCAGCCCAAUAUCAGAUAAUACUAGAAGAUGAAACUGAGGAAUGGACAGACAAGAAGGAGACUGAAGAAGAGAAUUGCAAAUACUAUGGAUGAGCAGCAGGUUUCCAAGACUGGGGUUUUACUACAGUGUAAAGUGGUGUAAGUUAGAACAAGAUAGGACGAGAGUAUAUAAGCACAUAUAAGUGCUUAGUUAGCAUAAAUUGAAGUAAAUCAGAGUAAAGCAUUAAUAAGCAUAAACUGGAGUACAUAAGAACAGCCCUGCUGGAUCAGGCCCAAGGCACAUCUAGUCCAGCAUCCUGUUUCGCACAGUGGCCCACCAGAUGCCGCUGGAAGCCACAGGCAGGAGUUGAGGGCAUGCGCUCUCUCCUGCUGUUAUUCCCCUGCAACUGGUACUCAGAGGCAUCCUGCCUUUGAGGCUGGAGGUGGCCCACAGCCCUCCAACUAGUAGCCAGAGUAAAUCGGGGAUGUUCACAUUGCUGCUUUUUAUUAUGAUUGGUUUUAUAAGUGGAGAAGAGAAAUUGCUAGGCAGGGGAUAAAAGAGUGCACAUGAGUUAGAAGGAAAGUAUGAAUGAAUUUAAAAAUGAAUGCAGUCAGAGGUAUUUGUGACAGAGCUCUUCAACAGUUCUGAUGUGGGGACAAAAAGCAUAAGAAAGGAGUCAACCACGCCUGAGGAAGAGUGGAAUGAAGAAAACAAAAUCCUAAACAAAUGCUCUCCAAUAGGAACCGUUGUGUGUAUUGCUAUUAACAAAGGACAUGUGUUUAUUCCCAAGAGACACUGUACUGGCAACAACACUGCCAGAUAUUUCAAGGGCAGAAGAGGAAGUGUGAAGAAAAACCAGUGGGGAAGAAUUAUUUUUAAAUUAUUUUUAAAAAGAUUUUAUUUUGGUACUUUCACAAUGUAAAAGAACAAUGUUGUCAAACAAGAACAGUCAUCAAUUAUGUCAAGCGAUGUAUGUUAUCUUUGCAUAUCAAUGAGUCUUUUUGUUUGACUUUUUAAUGAAUGAGGAUGGAUUUUCAAAUGUUCUGGUUUAUUGUGUGUUGCUUUAGACUUGUUGAUACAGUUCAAGAAUGGCAUUCAAUGUGGUAAAAAGUUAUCUUUCGAUUGGUGAAUGGGGAAGAAUUCCUGAACAUCCAUUUGAAGUGUUCAUAAUGAUCAUUCCAGUCCACUUGUUAAUAAAACAUGUUAGAUUGUCUUGAAAGCUUA